rnacentral:ncRNA from 1 species
UGCGAUGAGUCGAGAAAGAUCACGCGGCUUUGUGCCGUUCGCGCAAGCGGCUAGGUGAUAUUUUGGAUAACGGGGCACAUUUUAAGCACGGAUUUGUGGUGUCUGACUUUGACGGAUUGUGGAGUCC